UACAUGGGGUGCAAACGUUGCUCGGAAUUAUUGGGCGUAAAGCGCACGUAGGCGGUUCGUUAAGUCGGAUGUGAAAGCCCUCGGCUCAACUGAGGAAGUGCACCCGAAACUGGCGAGCUUGAGUACGAAAGAGGAUCGCGGAAUUCCCGGUGUAGAGGUGAAAUUCGUAGAUAUCGGGGAGGAACACCGGGUGGCGAAGGCGGCGAUCUGGGUCGAUACUGACGCUGAGGUGCGAAAGCGUGGGGGAGCAAACAGG
rnacentral:rRNA from 1 species